rnacentral:rRNA from 1 species
GACGAACGCUGGCGGCGUGCUUAACACAUGCAAGUCGAACGGUAAGGCUCCAGCUUGCUGGGGUACACGAGUGGCGAACGGGUGAGUAACACGUGGGUGACCUGCCCUGCACUUCGGGAUAAGCCUGGGAAACUGGGUCUAAUACCGGAUAGGACCAUGGUGUGGAUACUGUGGUGGAAAGUUUUUUCGGUGUGGGAUGGGCCCGCGGCCUAUCAGCUUGUUGGUGGGGUAAUGGCCUACCAAGGCGGCGACGGGUAGCCGGCCUGGGAGGGUGGACGGCCACGUUGGGACUGAGACGCGGCCCAGACUCCUACGGUAGGCAGCGGUGGGGAAUAGUGCACAAUGGGCGGAAGCCUGAUGCAGCGACGCCGCGUGGGGGAUGACGGCCUUCGGGUUGUAAACUCCUUUCACCAUCGACGAAGGGUUUCUGACGGUAGAUGGAGAAGAAGCACCGGCUAACUACGUG